rnacentral:rRNA from 1 species
UACGUAGGGCGCAAGCGUUGUCCGGAAUUAUUGGGCGUAAAGAGCUCGUAGGUGGCUUGUCACGUCGGGUGUGAAAGCUUGGGGCUUAACUCCAGGUCUGCAUUCGAUACGGGCUGGCUAGAGGUAUGCAGGGGAGAACGGAAUUCCUGGUGUAGCGGUGAAAUGCGCAGAUAUCAGGAGGAACACCGGUGGCGAAGGCGGGUCUCUGGGCAACUACUGACGCUGAGGAGCGAAAGCGUGGGGAGCGAACAGG